rnacentral:rRNA from 1 species
AAAGAUCCACCGGGCACCACCUGCCGGUGCCGGUGCCCCCCUCGAAAGCGUUGGCUCCCCUCUUACGGUCCAGGACGUCGCGAAGGUCGUCGAUGCGGGCGGUCUCGGAGAGACUGGGCCCUGCCCGAUGCCCACCCGUUCCGCCAGACGCGGGGCUCCCUUGGGAAGCGCGGGCGCCCCCCGGUGUUGGGCGUUGGCGAGCAAUUUCCACCUGCCCCGCGAUUUCCUGGAUCCACGGGCGCAUGGGGGACGACUCCUCCAACGGCACCGGCGGGUGUGGGAGGAGGACGCACAUGGUCUGGAGCGCGGCCACCUUGGUGGCCUCGCCAGCGCCCGGCCGACGGCGCGCUGGUUGACGCUCGACGCGCAGGCACGGCUGGGGGGACGCUGAGCCCCCUGCCGCUAGAAGACUGGCUGAGCCGCAACUAUGUCCCAUGCCGAGUGGUUCCCAGCGUGCUGGCGGCGAAGGCCGCUGCCGCCGCUGUGCCUGCGAUCCACGGGAGGGCAUGGUUGAUGAUGAUGCAGCAAAUAUUUGGUCAAGCAUUUGGAUUUAGCUGUGGUGUUCAAACAUAUCAAUCCCCUGUCCCUGCAGAAGUAGGAUACAAUCAAUCCACUGCAGCUGAGACUAGCCACUGGACAAUGGGUGCGAAUCACGCGACUCAUAAAACUUGAAAAGAUGCUAUUCCAGCUGACAGUUCUACUACUUGAUGUCCUUAAAGGAAUUGUAGGUUUUGAAAUUCUAAUAUUCAUGUUACAAUUCCUGGUCAAGUUUGCAGUAAAGCUUUACAAAAGGCAUUGCGUAAGUUCGGUUUGUGUCAAAUACUUAUCUGACGAAGUUAUACGAAAUUCCAGUAGGAUCCUUGGGAUAACAUCUAUGAUCUCUUUCCUCACCGAGCUACAAGCAUGUUUGGGUUGCUUGCUGCAGCUAAAUUGCCGUUCAACUUUUCAGAUAUUAUUUUUACCAUUUACGAUAUAACUGAAGAGUGAUUAAAUGAAUCUGCACCGUUGAACAGAGUGUUUCAAGUAUUUUCACAGAAGAAAAUAUGUCCAAUGGUUUAAUUGCGUACCUUUUGCCCUAGUUGUCUUAUAUUUCACUGAUCUUGUUAUUUUGCAGCUGAUAAUGGAGAGAUAGACUGUUUCUCAACCAUGGCAAGUACACCAAUUUUAACAGUGAAGACCCUUCAUAUCAAUUCAGCGAUUCUUGCUGCAAGAAGUCGUUUCUUUCUAAAGCUUUUCUCAAAUGGCAUGAAUGAAUCUGAUCAGACGCAUCCAAGAAUCAGGAUUGCUGAUUCAGAGGAAAAAGCCUUUAUGGAGCUUUUAAGCUUCAUGUACAGUGGAAAGUUGACAACAAUUGAGCCCACUCUUCUGCUCGACAUCUUAAUGGCUGCCGACAAAUUUGAGGUUCUUUCUUGCAUGAGGUACUGCAGUCAGUUGCUCAGAAGCCUGCCUAUGACCACAGAAUCUGCACUGCUAUACCUCGAUCAUCCAUGCUCCCUUUCAAUGGCUGCUGAAGUUCAGAGUGUGGUAGGUGCAGCCAAGGAAUUCCUUGCCGAGAAAUACAAGAUUUUAGACAAGUUUGAAGAAGUGAUGAACAUCUCUCUUUCUGGAAUCGAGGCGAUCUUUUCGAGCACUGACAUACAAGUAGCAUCUGAAGAUGCGGUAUAUAACUUCUUGCUCGAGUGGGCCCGUGCGCGAUACCUGGAACCGGAGGAAAGACGCGGGAUCUUGAGCAGCCGUUUGCUUCCGCUGGUACGCUUCAGUCAUAUGACAUGUGCCGCUCUUCAGGAGAUCCUAGCAUGCACUGAUGAUGAUAUAGACCGUGAGCAAGUAACCAAGCGCAUCAAUGAGGUCCUCCUCCACAAAGCUUACCCAACCCAGAUGGAAGGUGCUCUUGCAGCAGAUGUAUCAACUCUCGAUUGGCAAUCUGCUGAGCGAACUUACGGGUCCAAACAUGUGAAAGCGGUUGUGUUUGAUCGACCUUGCCCACAGGUUAUAGUUUACAUGGAUCUAACCCGCGACGAGUGCUCCCGAUUCUUCCCAUCAGGAGUUAUAUUGUCGGACUGGUUCCAUCUCGCAGGUCAGAAAUUCUAUCUCAUGGCAGACUGUGUACUGGAUGAGCAGACAGAGUUGUACAGCUUUGGCCUCUGGCUAGGGAUAUAUGGAAAUUCUGUUUCAGGCUCGUCGUGUUUCGAUGUUGAGUUUGCUGCAAGGACAAGAUCGUCAGGAAAAUUCUUGAGCAAGUACGUCGGUAGGCACACAUUCAGCGGGUCUUUGCUGGAGGGAUGUGAUGAUCUUUUUGGAGUUCCAUGGUCGACGUUCAUUGCGGACGACAGCCUCUUCAUCGACGGCGUGCUGCAUCUGAGAGUUGAUCUGACUGUGGUGGAGCAGCCUGAAUUACAGACCUGAUGGUAUUUCACUCAGCAAAGUUAGGGUGUGUCUUGAGCCCUGCAUGUGAUACUGUGAGCUGCUGCAGCAGCCAGGAAGUUUAAUCCCCGGGCAUUGUCCGGGGUAACCUGAAUCAUGUGUUAUUGUUGUUGAUCGGUUGCUACUGCAAGUCAGUAGUAACAUGUGUGUGUGUGCGCGCUGACUGCUGACUUUUGUAUGUUGGUAUCAUACUUUAGAAUUUCAUUUAUGCCUGUGCGAAUGGUCUCUGUGCUGGGAAAGUGAGUUUGUUGGCUGAAUGAUGCAAGGAGAUUCCGA